rnacentral:rRNA from 1 species
CUACGGGGCGCUGCAGUGGGGAAUAUUGGACAAUGGGCGAAAGCCUGAUCCAGCAAUGCCGCGUGAGUGAUGAAGGCCUUAGGGUUGUAAAGCUCUUUUACCAGGGAUGAUAGUGACAGUACCUGGAGAAUAAGCUCCGGCUAACUCUGUGCCAGCAGCCGCGGUGAUACGGAGGGAGCUAGCGUUGUUCGGAAUUACUGGGCGUAAAGCGCACGUAGGCGGCUUUUCAAGUCAGGGGUGAAAUCCCGGGGCUCAACCCCGGAACUGCCCUUGAAACUGGAUGGCUAGAAUACUGGAGAGGUGAGUGGAAUUCCGAGUGUAGAGGUGAAAUUCGUAGAUAUUCGGAAGAACACCAGUGGCGAAGGCGACUCACUGGACAGUUAUUGACGCUGAGGUGCGAAAGCGUGGGGAGCAAACAGGAUUAGAUACCCGUGUAGUC